CUUGACCGAGCCGAGCAGCAGCGGCCGGUCCGCGCCACGGCCCUCGCCGUAGGUGGCGACGAGCGCGCGGGCCUC
rnacentral:antisense_RNA from 1 species